CGCGCGAUGUUGCGCGGGUCGCGCGAGUACGCCUCACGGGUGAACGGGUCGUGCACGAAGAAGUUCAGGUUCAGCGUCUUGGCCGCGCGG
rnacentral:tRNA from 1 species